ensembl:lncRNA
UUAUUUAUUUUUACGCUGGAGUACCUUAAAAUGCCACUGGGCCGAGGUAGCGUCCGUGACAUGCCAACACGACAGCAUUUCCUCUGGUGUACAGUGCUGUCUAUGCCUGCGCCCGCUGUGACGCUGGCUGUAUUCGCAUUAGUGUUGGCACAGUACUUGGUAAAAGCGGAAGGGCCACAGUCGGGGCUCUCAGCACAGCACCUGCUUCUAAAACUGCAGACACACUAAAAUUAGCAUCAACCACCUGCCACAAAAGCCAGUUUCAUCCAGUUAAACAGAAGAGCACAUCAGAAGAGUGAUUUACAUGACAGACAAACCGGCAAAAUAAUAAGACUGACCCUUGUUCAGGACCCUCCCCCUCUUUGCACGGCCCGGUCUUUGCUAAAGUCAUGUGACAGCUUGUGCAGAGGUCCCACAGCACCCGCUCACUCUCCUGCAGUGAACACCAGUCUGCAUGUCCAGAGCCAGAACUGCGUAUCAGAGCCUGGUGGAAGCAGGGCAUGCAAUAGAGAAGAUGCGAUAUCUUUUGUAGGAACACUGCAAAUUAAAAUCACUUCGAAAAUAGCAAACUGCAUUUUAGGAAGAAAAUGUAUACUGUAUGUACUGAACUGCUUGCACUACUUGUCUCAGACAGUAGUGCAGUAGUGUGCAAAGGUGGCAUGAGUUCAGCAGUGCGGUAAAUGCCAUCUGGACCCUGCUCGACUAUGCUCUAGCAUUCACUGCCCACUCAUGGGCUACAACCCCAGUGUCACGUCUAGCAUCACAACAUUUUCCAUAUUUCUGCAUUUAGAGGUUCAAAAGUAUCUUGACCUAAAUUCAUCAUAACGUAAUAAUAAUAAUAACGGCUGUUUUAAGUUACAGUAGGGUAUGUUGUGAUAGCUAUAGCAUUAAUCACUGCAUAAAUCAGAUCUUUUUAUCACUGAAUGUUUUAAAAUUAUUUUUACAAUGCAUACAGGAUCCAGUAAUCAUGGAUUUCCAGACCCAAAAGUUUACAAUCCCCUUUUUUUCCUAUGAAAAUCUCUGCUGUUUACAUAAAACAAACACAUCACAGGUUACACAGAAGUUCAUGCACCUAGAAUAGUCUCAACUAAAGGAUUUACAUGCCUUUGUAGAUCAAAAUAACAAGCAUUGUGUGUGUGUGUGUGUGUUACUGCUAACAUAUUUUUCAUUCAUUUAUAUCAAGCUUAUUCUUCAAGUAUGUGACUCACCUGUAUGAUGUUCAGGUAUUUGUGGAUGCGGGAAACAGGAGCAAAUAGUAAUGAAAGCAGUCUGAAGCUCUCUUUCUCCUCCUAGCAUAAAAACAUAAACACAUGAAACCAAUAUUAUGCAAAAGUAAAAAUCAAUAUACUUGCACUUAGAUAUAACUGGGCCUGGUUGCUGUAGAUUCAUUUGAUAGUCCUUUCACUACUGCUGAGCUAAACACAAAACAGGCAUCACUGUGUGCUUAAGCAUUUUUCAUAAUAUUUUGCCUGUGCAUUUUGUGGGUCGCUGUGGGGUGAAGUUGUACUGAUCUCUGUUCUCAGGACAGUUCCCAGACUGGCCACGUAUCCAAGAUAUGCAUCAGAGAAAGACUUCUGCAGAAGGACAAACAAUGAAAUUAUAAAAACAGUAAUAUUGUAAAAUAUUAUUAUAAUUUAAAAUAAGCAUUUUCUAUCCUAAUACAUUUCUGUGAUGCAAAGCUAAAUUUUGAGCAUCACAACUCCAGUCUUUCUGAAGUGUCAUUUCAGAAAUCAUUCUAAUGUGUUGAUUUGCUGCUGAAGAAACAUUCAUUAUUAUCAAUGUUGAAACCACUUGUACUGCUUCGCAUUUUGUGGAAAAUGUGAUAUUAAUGUAGGAUUGUUUGAUGAAUAGAAAGUUCAAAAACAUCAUUCUAGAUUAGUUUUUUUGUAACAAUGUAAAAGUCUUUACUGUCACUUUUGAUCAAUUUAAAACUGGACUACAUAUGAUUAUUUUAGUAGUCAAUGGCAUUACAUUGUUCUGUCCAAUGAGGUUGAGGAAAGCAUCCCCAGCAGCACAGCUUCUCUCAUCGGUGGUCAGUCGUUCUUCUAGGGUGUUACGGAACAGCAGGUGGCGCUGUAGCAUCUGAUCAAUGUGCUUUACAAACGCCACACUGUCUCACAAACACACAAAUACACUUGUUAUAGUGCCUGGUACAGUCAGAAAUAAAGAGAUUACAUGAAACACACAGAUAAUGAUUAUAGUUCUCUACUUUUGCUCAGCAGAUUUGUAUUUCUCGUAGAGCUGAUUCAAACUAGACACAUAAUCGCGUUCAGACUGCAACAGCAUCUCCACCACACCCCGCCUCCUGCCUGACAGAGAAACAGAGACAUGAGGAUCCACGUGUGAAUGCUGAGCAGUUCAAAGGCUUGGGGAACAGAUUAUUUACCCCGCCGUAGGCAGCUGUGUGUUACAUGACAGGAUAGAGAAUCUGCACCUGAAACAGUAAACAAAACUCACUGUAAUGUGAUUAGACUGUUUAAGCAUUUUUUAAUAUCAUUUGCAUCGCCUUAAUUAGUUUUUGCCACAUGUUAUAUUACUUAACAUUUUAUUUCAAUAUAUUAAAGCUACACCAUGUAACUUUUGGCCUUCUAUAGCGUCUGUAGCCUAAAAAUACAAGUAACUUUCGGAGAAACACUGUUUUAGUAAUUCUGCAUGUUGUGCUUGGGCACUGCUGUUUUGUGAGGAUGAAUCUGAUGGCUUGAGGUACAAAAGUUUGGCAAUUUUUGGAGAUUACUAAGUAGGGUGACCAUAAGUCCUGGCUGAGAUUUCUAAAUAGCCUAAAAUGUCUGGGUUUUUGCUUUAUUUUGCUAUUGACAUGCUAUCUGCAUUCUCCAAUAUAUGUAUAUGCAUAUUUGCAUUGCUUUAACCGCUUUCUGUAGGGCUGAUUAUGUACAAUGCCUACACAAUAUUGGUCAGAAUACUUUUCAGUCAUUAUCUUCAGCAAAUAUGAAAACAAUAGCAAAAACAUGGAAACACGCACAGACAAAUGAUGAAAGUAUGCAUUUAACCAGGAAAUUAAUUCCAACCACUCUAAAAUAUAAACAGUUAUUAUAGUCUUACCAUAGUGAUUUAAGGACAAAACUUUGAGUAGAAAAGGUUACAUAGUGUUGCUUUAACAAAUAUUUAAAAAUAUGUAUUUUAGGGUAUGUUUACAAAACAAUGAUUGUACUAAAAACAGAAAAGUUUUUCCUUUGCAUUUUUGAAAAGUUACACAUACAGAUGACAACAUUGUCAAAACGAUCCCCGUUUUCACAGAUCAGUGAAAACGACUAAAAAUGCUGUAUUAGGCACGCCAGGCCAGUAGUUGGCAAUGUCCCCUUUUAAAGAAACACUAUGCGCUAUGCACAAACAUAUACAUUCCAGUAGACUGAACAUGUAAUAUGCAUGCACAUGACUUCAUCCUUGUGUUUUUGUAGUCUGUAUUAUAUAAAAACUUUCACUUUGAAACCCUUACCCUUUUAAAAACCCUUUUUUCUUUUUACACCCCAAAAAAGAAAAGCUCACCUGAAUUCUGUCUGGCCCACUGCCACACCUGUAAUCCCUGCAGGUAACAGUGUAUGAGGAAAUCUCCACCCACAGAUGAAAGGGGAGGAGCCUCUGCAGCACCAUUACUCUGUCCGCUACUGUCGUCCACUCCAUUACUGCAUUCACACAUACACACAUCAACACUAUAGCGCAGUUUCAGUCAAACUUUAAAUGUAAAUGUGUGCAUGUCAGUGUGCGUGUGUGUGUGUGUUUACUUCUCUCUUCCUGGAUUCUCUGGUGGCGUUCUCUCUUGUGCCUCACAGAGUUGACGAAACUGACAACGUACCUCCUCCAGCUCCUCCUAAAGAGACAUACAUCAAAACAUACCUAUGACAAACAUCCUCGUUUGCUUUACUCGUUUCCUUUCCUCAUGUCUUAGCUCCACCCCCUUAGGAUGAGAGAGAAGGAUACAAGGAAAGAAAAUAUGGAAGGAGGUAUCAACGGAGAGCUUAUUUGUACAUUAUUAUAUUCUUGAUUACUCAAGUGUCACUUCAAAGCAUCAUCAAAUGCGCUCAGAUGUAAAGGGGAGGAGAAUUUAUACAUGCAUCCGGUUUUUCGACAAGAAAGACUUCCACAAAGGAUACACCUGUGUAUCCUCGCUUACAGCUCCUCGUUCCUCACCUCCUCGUGGUGCAAUUUGAGAUUUGAGAUUGCUUUCAAGAUGGCUAACUUUGAUUACUUGGGCUUGAGGAUGGAGGAGUAAGGAAACGAGGAAGCAUCAUUUUGAGGGAUUUAAAAGGAACCAAAGAAGAGAUUUACAAGACCUCACCUUGAGGGACAGCACCAGACUCUCCAGGUGAAGGGAGCGCUUGUUGCAGCCGUGUCUUGUGUCCUCCAGCUGGCUCUGCAGCUCAGUGUCUCCCUGCUGAAUCUGAUUCAGCUCCAGCAGCGCUCGAGAAAACCCUGCCCGCAACUCACACACCAUGCCCUGAACCUGAACACAUCCACAAGACCAUCAGCUGCUGAAGAAAGUCAGUGUGUGUUUGUUACCUUAGAGAUCUCUCUCUCCAGUUCUCCCUCAUGAGAU